rnacentral:rRNA from 1 species
CACGUAGGGCGCAAGCGUUGUCCGGAAUUAUUGGGCGUAAAGAGCUCGUAGGCGGUCUGUUGCGUCCGCUGUGAAAACUCGGGGCUUAACCCCGAGCCUGCAGUGGAUACGGGCAGACUAGAGGUAGGUAGGGGAGAAUGGAAUUCCCGGUGUAGCGGUGAAAUGCGCAGAUAUCGGGAGGAACACCGGUGGCGAAGGCGGUGUCCUGGGAAGUACCUGACGCUCAGGUGCGAAAGCUAGGGGAGCGAACAGG